CCUACGGGAGGCUGCAGUGAGGAAUAUUGGUCAAUGGACGAGAGUCUGAACAAGCCAAGUAGCGUGAAGGAUGACUGACCUAUGGGUUUUAAACUUCUUUUAUAUGGGAAUAAAACAGGGUAUGCAUACCCUUUUGUAUGUACCAUAUGAAUAAGGAUCGGCUAACUUCGUGCCAUCAGCCGCGGUAAUACGGAGGAUACGAGCGUUAUCCGGAUUUAUUGGGUUUAAAGGGAGCGUACGUGGGUUGUUAAGUCAGUUGUGAAAGUUUGCGGCUCAACCGUAAAAUUGCAGUUGAAACUGGCAGUCUUGAGUACAGUAGAGGUGGGCGGAAUUCGUGGUGAAGCGGUGAAAUGCUUAGAUAUCACGAAGAACACCGAUUGCGAAGGCAGCUCACUGGACUGCAACUGACACUGAUGCUCGAAAGUGUGGGUAUCAAACAGGAUUAGAUACCCUUGUAGUC
rnacentral:rRNA from 1 species